UGUUUCAGGGCAGGGUGCAAUUCCCGACCGGUGGUAUACCCCACGAGCCAAUUGGCUGAUCUAGUGAGAUUCUAGAGGCGACAGUAAAGUCUGGAUGAAAGAAA
rnacentral:ncRNA from 1 species